UUAUUAUUAUUAUUAUUUUUUUUACUUUUUACUGUUGUUUUUGAGAAAAAAACAUAAGACAAAUACAAACAAUGAUAGAACAAACAGCAGGAGGAGAAUCCAACAUUUGAGUAAAAUUUAUGUCUGGAGGGAUU